rnacentral:rRNA from 1 species
UACGUAGGGUGCGAGCGUUAAUCGGAAUUACUGGGCGUAAAGCGUGCGCAGGCGGUUUUGUAAGCCAGAUGUGAAAUCCCCGGGCUUAACCUGGGAAUGGCAUUUGGGACUGCAAGGCUGGAGUGUGGCAGAGGGUGGCGGAAUUCCCGGUGUAGCAGUGAAAUGCGUAGAUAUCGGGAGGAACAUCCGUGGCGAAGGCGGCCACCUGGACCAGCACUGACACUGAGGCACGAAAGCGUGGGGAGCAAACAGG